rnacentral:lncRNA from 1 species
AAUUAUCAAAAUUUCUAUUUUGUAUCAUAUGUGAUGAUUAUGAGUGUAGCGAAGUUUUCGAACAUGUGAUAUGAACAAUGAAAUUUUGAUAAUGUAAUUAUAAAAAAUUGUGCCUAAUGUCCAAUUUUUUAUAUAAUUGUAGAAAUGAUAACCAAGAACAUGAUUACUGAUUUAUCCACAAACGAGAAGUUGGAUGGGACAAAUUAUAAUACAUGGCAUAGGAAGAUUCAGUAUCUUCUUAAUGAACGCGAGAUUUUGGAAACCUUGACCACUACUGUACUUGAGCAAAAAAAUAUUAGUAGUGACUGGUAUAAUGAGAAUCUGGUUACAUACCAGGAAUAGUCCAAGAAGGAUCAUUCUGCGCG